rnacentral:pre_miRNA from 1 species
AUCUGAACCACCUGGAGAUUAUAUUAAAAUGCAGAUUCUGAUACAGUAGGUAUGGGGUAGACUUAAGAGUCUGCAUUUCUAACAAGCUCCCAGGUGAUGCUGAU